rnacentral:lncRNA from 1 species
ACGAAUACGAAAUGAGAAAUAGAGACGGAAUAGAAGAAGGAUCCAAGGUGUAAUAUUUAAGAUGAGUCUGUGCAGCUAUGUGGCAUUCACGACUGCCGGAAUUAAGAAGAAUGGCGGGUGUGAGCAUUUCUGCGCCAACAUUCGAGAGUCAUACUACUGCCAGUGCCGGCAGAGAUAAUUUGUCUGGAAGUUCAAUUGUGUAGGUGAGGACUGGACUGUCACUGUCACUCUACGACAUUGACGAGUGUGUGGAAUCGCCCGGAUCUUCUCCCUGAAGGACCAUCUCCGCAGCAGUGUUCGGUCCUCCCAGCAGCAGCAACGAUCAGGAGAAGACGGUCAUUGAAGUGUCAAGUUCCCAAGCUGGCAUGGUACUGGGUAUUGUGCUGGGUUCCUUCGGUGUUCUUUGCCUAGCUGCUGGGAUGCUUUUCGGAUUCCUGAAGAUGCGUCGACGUGUUAUCAUCCACAAAAACUUCCCCGACCAAGUGUACCACAAGACAACAGGCACUGAGGAGGACGGGAGCGAACGGCUGCAUGCACCACUGAACAGGACGGCAUUAUAUUCGUCCCACAGGACAGGACUACAGCGAAGCCCAGAGAUUCAGUACUACUAACACCAAAGAAGUGAGGAGAGUGUUUGGAAUGAGAGUGUAAGGCAUACAACAGACACCAGACUGCUACUGCUUGUGUAGCCAAAGGAACAAGAGAAAUAGGAGGAAGAGGAAGAAGAAGAGUGAUUCAUGGAGACGUACUAAUGAAGUUCUGAAGGUUGGCCACAAAUCAUCAUCACUGGUAUAGUGUAUUUUAUAGACCAUUUGUAGAUUGCGUGGAUAAAUUUGUAGAUUUUGUAAACAGAGUUCUAAAUGUGUAAGGGGGAAGGUUUUUUGCAAUGAUUUAUUUAAACCAGUAGAAAAUAGUGAUAUGUAGAAGUUAUGCAUAGCAUUUUCAUAUGAAUGUAUAUAUGUAGGCCUAUAUAGUAUUUAAAAGAGGAGAGCGUAGACCAAGACAGGAAAAUAACCUCUUGGGACACGAGUCCUCUGCUCAUCACUCAUCAUUCCUGUCACCCAUCAUGAUCGUUUAUGCCUUAAGGACCAAAUGACCAACAUGUUCACUCCAUGCUGGAAUUCACCAUGGAGAAACACGUAAUGAAUGUUGACAACUUUUCUUGUUAGGAGACGCUAUAUUUAUAGUGAGGGACUGUAUCGAGCAUGCUGGCUAGUCAGACAUGAUGUGUCUUGCUGCCAGGCCAUGACAGUAGAUUAGUACCAAGUUGUAGUUUUUAAGGGUAAUAGUAGUGGAGUGCUUCUCACCCUAUUGCAAUGUGUGAUGUAGACGUGGUUCUGUCUGACGGAAACAAGUAGUGAUUACAAGAACCUUUUCCUUCUUGUGUGUCUCAAAGAUAGACUAUAAAUUAAAGUGUCUUUUAUGUUUUCUGGGGUGAAGCACAAAGGUAUUGUUACGCGUUUCCGAAGAUGAUGUUUUGUGAGUCUUUCAAUGCAAUACUUAAAUUAAGUUUCUGGCCAAUGUCUUAUCACGUGCUGCAGUUUUUGUUACUUAUAUUUAUUUUGUAUACCUAUUGAUAUGACAACAUCUUGUGAAUGAUACUCCUGUAUAUUUCUAAUGGCAACACAAUA